rnacentral:rRNA from 1 species
CCCUUAGACACUCUAGGCGGCACGCGCGCUACAAUGGGUGGAAGAACGUGUUACUGCCUCCGAAAGGAGGGGUGAAUCACGAAUUCUUGCCCGUGAAUGGGAUAGUUUGUUGCAAUUUUCGGACUUGAACUAGGAAUCCCUUGUAAACAUGCUCAAGAAUAGCGUGUUGAAUACGUCCCUGCCGUUUGUACACACCGCCCGUCGUUUCUUCCGACUGAUACUCAUUGCGAGUUGCAAGGACCCUUUAUUGGGAAAUUGCUGCAAAUGCUUUGUAUUGGAGGAAGAAAAAGUCGUAACA